UCGGGAAUCUCCGGAUCUACGCUUAUUUUCAACUCCCCGAAGCAUUUCGUCGCUUACUACGCCCUUCCUCGUCUCUGGGUGCCUUGGUAUCCACCACAAGCCAA